rnacentral:lncRNA from 1 species
AACUUUCUAGUUUAGUAUUUUUAAUUGUCAUAAGUUAUUUCCCUUUGUUAAUUUUUAGUUUGUGUUUACUUUACCGUCGAUAUAUCGAAGUGAACAUGUGUUACUACUAUCUUUAAUUAAUGUCAUUUCCAUUUCAACAAUUAUUUUAUUUAAUCGCUUAUUAUUUUAGUUCUUGCAAAUUUUAUGCUUCUUAAUUAUAGCUAUUAGUUUUAAUUAUUUUCAUUAACUGUUGUAUAGCCUUAGGAGCAUUUACCUGCAGGAAUCUUAAGAAAAAGCUGAAAAUUU